rnacentral:tRNA from 1 species
GGAGUGGUGGCUGAGAGGCUAAAGGCGCGGGUCUUGAAAACCUGAGCAGGGCUUAACGCUCUGUCGAGGGUUCGAAUCCCUCCUGCUCCGCCA